rnacentral:rRNA from 1 species
GACGAACGCUGGCGGCGUGCUUAACACAUGCAAGUCGAGCGGUAAGGCCCUUUCGGGGGUACGACGAGCGGCGAACGGGUGGAGUAACACGUGGGUGACCUGCCCUCAGCUCUGGGAUAAGCCUGGGAAACCGGGUCUAAUACUGGAUAUGACUCCAUGACGCAUGUUGUGGGGUGGAAAGCCUUGUGCGGCUGAGGAUGGGCCCGCGGCCUAUCAGCUUGUUGGUGGGGNGAUGGCCUACCAAGGCGACGACGGGUAGCCGGCCUGAGAGGGCGACCGGCCACACUGGGACUGAGACACGGCCCAGACUCCUACGGGAGGCAGCAGUGGGGAAUCUUGCGCAAUGGGCGAAAGCCUGACGCAGCGACGCCGCGUGAGGGAUGACGGCCUGG